rnacentral:piRNA from 1 species
UUUUCAAAAAGUGUGAGAUAC